rnacentral:lncRNA from 1 species
CAUUUAAAAAUAGAGAAGCUUUUAGAAAAAUUAAAGAAUCUUUAAUUAGUAAUUAUUCAGAAUAUAUAAGUCUAAAUAAAACAAAAGAAAAUCCACAAAAACUAGCCUACUUAAUUACAUUAAUAUCUAGUAUUGAAUCAAAAUUAAUAACACAUUUAAAAUCUAGAAGAAUGAAACAUAUACCACCUAAUUACGAUAAAAUUAGAUUUAGGUAUCCACCAAGAUAUUAUAAAUAUAAUUUAAAAUGAAUAAAAUACAACGAUAUAAAGAAUUAAAACAAAUUAUCUCUGUAAAACGUAAAGAAUUAAAAAUAAGAAUAGAAAGACUACAUUAUAAUAUAUUUGCCGGAGUUAGUAAAAAUUCAAUAGAUACACAAAAAGAUGAAAUAUCAAAAUUAGAAUCACAAAUAGAUAGUUUAGAA